rnacentral:rRNA from 1 species
AGAGACAGCAGUAGCCGCGGGAAUACGAAGGGUGCAAGCGUUACUCGGAAUUACUGGGCGUAAAGCGUGCGUAGGUGGUGGUUUAAGUCCGUUGUGAAAGCCCUGGGCUCAACCUGGGAAUUGCAGUGGAUACUGGGUCACUAGAGUGUGGUAGAGGAUAGUGGAAUUUCCGGUGUAGCAGUGAAAUGCGUAGAGAUCGGAAGGAACAUCUGUGGCGAAGGCGACUAUCUGGGCCAACACUGACACUGAGGCACGAAAGCGUGGGGAGCAAACAGGAUUAGAUACCCCAGUAGUCCCGUCUCUUAUACA